rnacentral:rRNA from 1 species
UAACACAUGCAAGUCGAACGGGAAUUACUUUAUUGAAACUUCGGUCGAUUUAAUUUAAUUCUAGAUGGCGGACGGGUGAGUAACGCGUGGGUAACCUGCCUUAUACAGGGGGAUAACAGUCAGAAAUGGUUGCUAAUACCGCAUAAGCGCACAGAGCUGCAUGGCUCAGUGUGAAAAACUCCGGUGGUAUAAGAUGGACCCGCGUUGGAUUAGCUUGUUGGCGGGGCAACGGCCCACCAAGGCGACGAUCCAUAGCCGGCCUGAGAGGGUGAACGGCCACAUUGGGACUGAGACACGGCCCAGACUCCUACGGGAGGCAGCAGUGGGGAAUAUUGCACAAUGGGGGAAACCCUGAUGCAGCGACGCCGCGUGAAGGAAGAAGUAUCUCGGUAUGUAAACUUCUAUCAGCAGGGAAGAUAGUGACGGUACCUGACUAAGAAGCCCCGGCUAACUACGUGCCAGCAGCCGCGGUAAUACGUAGGGGGCAAGCGUUAUCCGGAUUUACUGGGUGUAAAGGGAGCGUAGACGGUGUGGCAAGUCUGAUGUGAAAGGCAUGGGCUCAACCUGUGGACUGCAUUGGAAACUGUCAUACUUGAGUGCCGGAGGGGUAAGCGGAAUUCCUAGUGUAGCGGUGAAAUGCGUAGAUAUUAGGAGGAACACCAGUGGCGAAGGCGGCUUACUGGAC